AUUGAACGCUGGCGGCAUGCCUUACACGUGCAAGUCGAACGGUAACGGACCUUCGGGUGCCGACGAGUGGCGAACGGGUGAGUAAUGUAUCGGAACGUACCUUUCAGUGGGGGAUAACGUAGCGAAAGUUACGCUAAUACCGCAUAUUCUGUGCGCAGGAAAGCAGGGGACCUUCGGGCCUUGCGCUGAUUGAGCGGCCGAUAUCAGAUUAGCUAGUUGGUGAGGUAAAGGCUCACCAAGGCGACGAUCUGUAGCGAGUCUGAGAGGAUGAUCCGCCACACUGGAACUGAGACACGGUCCAGACUCCUACGGGAGGCAGCAGUGGGGAAUUUUGGACAAUGGGGGCAACCCUGAUCCAGCCAUGCCGCGUGAGUGAAGAAGGCCUUCGGGUUGUAAAGCUCUUUCGGCCGGGAAGAAAUCGUAUCAGCUAAUACCUGGUGCGGAUGACGGUACCGGCAUAAGAAGCACCGGCUAACUACGUGCCAGCCGCCGCGGUAACAC
rnacentral:rRNA from 1 species